CGGUGAGGGGAAUGAUGUAUUACUAUCGUGCCCUUGAGUUGCUGGCUUUUCUGGAUUCUGCUUCUGAGAUGGACAUGAGAG
rfam:Erythranthe guttata cultivar DTN x IM62 scaffold_38_contig_63, whole genome shotgun sequence.